CCAGUCUGAGGCCAGUAGGGGCCACGCACAGUCCCAGGGGCCAGUCUGAGGUCAGUAGGGGCCACACACAGUCCCAGGGGCCAGUCUGAGGUCAGUAGGGGCCACACACAGUCCCAGGGGCCAGUCUGGGUCAGUAGGGGUCACACACAGUCCCAGGGGCCAAUCUGGGUCAGUAGGGGUCACACACAGUCCCAGGGGCCAGUAGGGGCCACGCACAGUCCCAGGGGCCAGU